GUAGGUGGCAAGCGUUGUCCGGAAUUAUUGGGGCGUAAAGCGCGCGCAGGCGGUCCUUUAAGGUCUGAUGUGAAAGCCCACGGGCUCAACCGUGGAGGGUCAUUGGAAACUGGGGGACUUGAGUACAGAAGAGGAAAGCGGAAUUCCACGUGUAGCGGUGAAAUGCGCAGAGAUGUGGAGGAACACCAGUGGCGAAGGCGGCUUUCUGGUCUGUAACUGACGCUGAGGCGCGAAAGCGUGGGGAGCAAACAGGAUUAGAUACCCUGGUAGUCCACGCCGUAAACGAUGAGUGCUAAGUGUUAGGGGGUUUCCGCCCCUUAGUGCUGCAGCUAACGCAUUAAGCACUCCGCCUGGGGAGUACGGCCGCAAAGGCUG
rnacentral:rRNA from 1 species